AUGGAGAGGGAUUCGAACCCCCGGUAUUCCUAUCAAUACUUCAGUUUUCAAGACCGACUCUUUCAACCGCUCAGACAUCCAUCCCUGCGCUCGCAACUCAUCAAGCGCAUGUGUGGCGGCAUGCAGAUCUUCGUGAAGGCUCCACCACUGUGCCAACACAGCUCCCUGCCUGCCUACAUGGCACCGCAUGCAUCCCUGGUCGAGGCGCGUGUCGAAGCGAGGAGGAGCGGCGACGGACGGGACGGGCCUCACCCACGCCCCCGACAAAGCAAGAGGACACCUAAGCGGUGCAUUAAAUGCACCUUAUCCUGUAAUACGAGGGAUAACCUCGUGCCACUGUAG
rnacentral:tRNA from 1 species